rnacentral:misc_RNA from 1 species
GAUGAAGAACGUAGCGAAAUGCGAUAAGUAAUGUGAAUUGCAGAAUUCAGUGAAUCAUCGAAUCUUUGAACGCUCAUUGCGACCGCCAGUAUUCUGGCGGGCAUGCCUGUUCGAGCGUCAUUUCAACCAUCAAGCCCCAGGCUUGUGUUGGGGACCUGCGGCUGCCGCAGGCCCUGAAAACCAGUGGCGGGCUCGCUGUCACACCGGGCGUAGUAGAUUUUAUCUCGCUCAGGGCGUGCUGCGGGUUCCGGCCGUUAAAAAGCCUUUUUUACCCAAGGUUGACCUCGGAUCAGGUAGGAAGACCCGCUGAACUUAAGCAUAUCAAUAAGCGGAGGA